GAGGCGGCGGAAGCGGCGGAGGCGGCGGAAGCGGCGGAGGCGGCGGAAGCGGCGGAAGCGGCGGAAGCGGCGGAAGCGGCGGAAGCGGCUGUGGCUUUGGCCCAACUGUGGGAGGGCGGGAGGCGGGAGCGGAGGUCGUUCUGCGAACGGGCGGGGCCGGGUGGGGCUGGGCCCCGCGGGCUACGGAUGGAGGGGCGGGUGACGCCCCCGCCGGGUGGCUGGAAAGGACGGCCACGGGCGGUCACCGGAGCUAGCGCCGCGGCCCCGCCGAAUCCCGCUCGCCCGCCCAGAGGACCCGGACACCUCGCAGCCACGCCGUCAACGCCGAGGAGAGCGGCGCCGGGGCCGUCGGACCCCGACCCUGCAGCGCUUCGCAAGGGCCAUCGAUGAGGCCGAGCUGCAGUCCCGCAACCCCGCACCCUGUCCCCGCCGCAGGGAGAAAGCGCCCGGUUCCACGCACUGUCGCGACGGUGCCCGAGGCCCAUGACUUGGCGAGAUUCGUCAAAGGACGUGCAGGAUCGGGACUGGGGGACAGGGCCUGUGCCCAGGACGAAAAAGAUGUGUCACUAGGCCGUUUGGGAGACGCUCUAAACCGGAGCAGUGCGUGCAUGACCAUCCCCUCGGGCACAGCCCCAGCCAGCAGAACGUGCUCACCUGCACCCCGAGCAGUGACAAAGCAGAAGCCUAGAGAUUGGGAUGGGCCUGGGGGAGUGUAA
rnacentral:lncRNA from 1 species